rnacentral:rRNA from 1 species
UGCAUGGCCGUCGUCAGCUCGUGCCGUGAGGUGUUGGUUAAGUCCGCAACGAGCGCAACCCCGCCGUUAGUUGCCAGCGGUUCGGCCGGGCACUCUAACGGGACUGCCCGCGAAAGCGGGAGGAAGGAGGGGACGACGUCUGGUCAGCAUGGCCCUUACGGCCUGGGCGACACACGUGCUACAAUGCCCACUACAAAGCGAGGCCACCCGGCAACGGGGAGCUAAUCGCAAAAAGGUGGGCCCAGUUCGGAUUGGGGUCUGCAACCCGACCCCAUGAAGCCGGAAUCGCUAGUAAUCGCGGAUCAGCCAUGCCGCGGUGAAUACGUUCCCGGGCCUU